CUAGCAGCAGCCGGUGAUUCC
rnacentral:misc_RNA from 1 species